rnacentral:pre_miRNA from 1 species
UUCUGUGUUCUCUAGGCAAUAUACUUAAUGUUAGCAUGCUAACAUUAAGUAUAUUGCCUAGAGAACACAGAAU